rnacentral:piRNA from 1 species
UCAUGGAAAUGUAAGAGUGGAAUAU